rnacentral:lncRNA from 1 species
CUGCCAGCGCCUGCACAAGAGACCCUAAGUAAGAAAACUGAGAUUGGCUGCUUUUACAUCAUCUCUACCCAUGUGCUGACUCGGCAUGUAUCUUCAGCCAGGGAGCUUCAGUCCAAUUGCACAUUCUCCUCGAUGGCUCUCCAAGGACCCCGGGGAUUCAGGGAACCCGUCCACUUACAUUCUCUUUAGUAAUUAUGGCUCAGCAAGCAUGCCACCAAAAUCAUCUAGAACCCAGAGACUCUGGCAACCCCAUAUAAGUAAAAAUGUGUAGAUCAGGUUUUUUUCUCCAAUAAAUAAUAAUUUGACAAUCCAAU